GAGUUUGAUCUUGGCUCAGGACGAACGCUGGCGGUGUGCCUCACACAUGCAAGUCGAACGGGGUAGCAAUACCCAGUGGCGGACGGGUGAGUAACGCGUAGGAAUCUGCCUUUAGAUGGGGGAUAACUGACCGAAAGGUUAGCUAAUACCGCAUAUGAGUCUUGCCCGACAGGGUAGGCCUUGAAAGGAGCAAUCCGUCUGAAGAUGAGCCUGCGUCCGAUUAGCUAGUUGGUAGGGUAAAAGCCUACCAAGGCGACGAUCGGUAGCUGGGUCUGAGAGGAUGAUCAGCCACAAUGGGACUGAGACACGGCCCAUACUCCUACGGGAGGCAGCAGUGGGGAAUUUUACGCAAUGGGGGAAACCCUGACGUAGCGACACCGCGUGAGCGAAGAAGCCCUUGGGGUGUAAAGCUCUGUCAGCAGGGACGAAACAAAUGACGGUACCUGC
rnacentral:rRNA from 1 species